rnacentral:rRNA from 1 species
UUGGCGGCGUGGAUAAGACAUGCAAGUCGAACGAGAGAAUUGCUAGCUUGCUAAUAAUUCUCUAGUGGCGCACGGGUGAGUAACACGUGAGUAACCUGCCCCCGAGAGCGGGAUAGCCCUGGGAAACUGGGAUUAAUACCGCAUAGUAUCGAAAGAUUAAAGCAGCAAUGCGCUUGGGGAUGGGCUCGCGGCCUAUUAGUUAGUUGGUGAGGUAACGGCUCACCAAGGCGAUGACGGGUAGCCGGUCUGAGAGGAUGUCCGGCCACACUGGAACUGAGACACGGUCCAGACACCUACGGGUGGCAGCAGUCGAGAAUCAUUCACAAUGGGGGAAACCCUGAUGGUGCGACGCCGCGUGGGGGAAUGAAGGUCUUCGGAUUGUAAACCCCUGUCAUGUGGGAGCAAAUUAAAAAGAUAGUACCACAAGAGGAAGAGACGGCUAACUCUGUGCCAGCAGCCGCGGUAAUACAGAGGUCUCAAGCGUUGUUCGGAAUCACUGGGCGUAAAGCGUGCGUAGGCUGUUUCGUAAGUCGUGUGUGAAAGGCGCGGGCUCAACCCGCGGACGGCACAUGAUACUGCGAGACUAGAGUAAUGGAGGGGGAACCGGAAUUCUCGGUGUAGCAAAUCACUAGUGAAUUC